AUGAUCAAGGCAGGGAUUGUGAAACCUAGUAUAAGCCCGUAUGCAUCACCAGUACUUCUGGUUAAGAAAAAAGACGGCAGCUGGCGUUUUUGCGUGGAUUACCGCAAACUCAACGCCAUCACUGUGAAGAACAAAUUCCCUCUGCCCAUGGUCGACGAAUUACUCGAUGAACUGGCAGGAUCAAAAAUUUUCUCCAAGCUGGACCUCAGGGCAGGUUAUCACCAAAUCCGUAUGCAUGAACCAGAUGAGGAGAAGACUGCAUUCAAGACACAUUCAGGACACUUUCAAUUUCGUGUUAUGCCAUUUGGGGUGACCAAUGGACCACCAACAUUUCAGUGCUUAAUGAAUAGCAUCUUUGCCCCAGCUAAUCGCAAGUAUGUCAUCACAUUUUUGGACGACAUUCUAGUUUUCAGUACCACUUGGGAGGAACAUCUGGAGCAUCUUCGCUCGGUACUACAGACCUUGCGCGAGCAUCAGUUGUUUGUGAAGCUUUCCAAAUGCUCUUUGCUCAGACUGAAAUCCAAUAUUUGGGUCAUGUGA
rnacentral:rRNA from 1 species